rnacentral:snoRNA from 1 species
UUUGGCAUAAUGAUGAUUUAAAACAAAAAGCCGUUUACCCAACUGAGGGCUUCCUUGAAGUAACUUGGUGUCUGAUGUGUGCCAUA